GAUGAACGCUGGCGGCGUGCCUAAUACAUGCAAGUCGAGCGAACAGACGAGGAGCUUGCUCCUCUGACGCUAGCGGCGGAUGGGUGAGUAAUACGUGGAUAACCUACCUAUAAGACUGGGAUAACUUCGGGAAACCGGAGCUAACACCGGAUAUUAUAUUGAACCGCAUGGUUCAAUAGUGAAAGACGGUUUUGCUGUCACUUAUAGAUGGAUCCGGGUCGCAUUAGCUAGUUGGUAAGGUAACGGCUUACCAAGGCAACGAUGCGUAGCCGAUCUGAGAGGAUGAUCAGCCACACUGGAACUGAGACACGGUCCAGACUCCUACGGGAGGCAGCAGUAGGGAAUCUUGCGCAAUGGGCGAAAGCCUGACGGAGCAACGCCGCGUGAGUGAUGAAGGUCUUCGGAUCGUAAAACUCUGUUAUUAGGGAAGAACAAAUGUGUGAGUAACUAUGCACGUCUUGACGGUACCUAAUCAGAAAGCAACGGCUAACUACGUG
rnacentral:rRNA from 1 species